UACGUAGGGGGCAAGCGUUGUCCGGAUUUAUUGGGCGUAAAGAGCGUGUAGGCGGCCAGACAGGUCCGUUGUGAAAACUCGAGGCUCAACCUCGAGACGUCGACGGAAACCGUCUGGCUAGAGUACGGUAGAGGGGGAUGGAAUUCCGCGUGUAGCAGUGAAAUGCGUAGAUAUGCGGAGGAACACCGAUGGCGAAGGCAAUCCCCUGGACCUGUACUGACGCUCAUGCACGAAAGCGUGGGGAGCAAACGAGGAUUACGAAACCCGUUGUAGA
rnacentral:rRNA from 1 species